rnacentral:rRNA from 1 species
AAAAGAAACUAACUAGGAUUCCCUCAGUAGCGGCGAGCGAAGAGGGAAGAGCCCAGCGCCGAAUCCCCGUCCGACGGGCGGAUUGGGGAAAUGUGGCGUACGGAAGACCGCUUGCCCGGUGUCGCUCGGGGGCCUGAGUCCUUCUGAUCGAGGCUCAGCCCGUGGACGGUGUGAGGCCGGUAACGGCCCCCGUCGCGCCGGGGUCCGGUCUUCUCGGAGUCGGGUUGCUUGGGAAUGCAGCCCAAAGCGGGUGGUAAACUCCAUCUAAGGCUAAAUACCGGCA